UGCUAUGAUGGUUUCUAGCAGAGUUGUACCAGUGAUUCUGGUGGUGUUGGUAGUGGAGGAGGUGGUAGAAGUGGUGGUCGAGAAGAGGAGAUGCUUCCGGGAGCCAAGAAGUACUUUCAACCACUUGCGUUCAAUUACUAGUCCCGAGGUUAUGGCGGGCUUCUCGUGUCGAGGCCGUAGGAGUGGUCUGCUCCUUUUCUUUCUUUCUCUCUCUCUCUCUCUCUUUCUCUCUCUCUCUUUCUCUCUCUCUUUUUCUCUCAUUUUGUACAGGUAUUACUGUGCGUGCAUCGAAUCACGAAGCCUCCUGUACGAAUUUAUCCGGAAGGCUGGCCACGUCGUUCCAGAGCCAUACAUCUAAUAGACUAGGACUCCCUAUCUCUCUCUCUCUCUCCCUCUCUGUCUCUCUCCCUCUCUUGACGAAAAUUAUCCGAACGAGAAGCAUCGUCAUGUACACUGCUUUGACAGACCUCUGUCCACUGAUAGAGGAAAAGAAUGAAGAGACUAUAGAACGCAGCUUGGUUGCCAGAAAACAGAAGGUAGACUUGCAACAGGAAGAGAAUCCGAAACGAUGAGUGCAUUUAAUGGCUCGUCUCUCGAAGAUGACACUCCCGAAGAAAGAAUUUGUUUGUAGAGAUACUCGAUAUCGAGGAAUUCUUCGCUUUGGUAAACUUAUAUCGCUGUCUCUUUUGGCGAAGAGAGAUCGACAACAGACAAGGAAAAUCGUUCUCGUAUACUACAACUGUCCGUGUGUCCCUUUGAAAUUUGACGGCGUUGACGAAGUACAUGUGUACCUGCCUGUCGCUAACCUACCUACCUUCGAGAGAAACGAAUGAGAGGCAAACGACGAAUUCGAGACUUGGAAACGGAAACCUCAGGGAUUACAAUAAUUACGUGUGCUUGCUAAUAAGCGGUUCCCUUCCGAAUUUCCUCGAAUUACAGAAGAGAGACACAUGUAUUAUUUUGUAUAUGUAUAUGUACAAGGAACACCAGUACACACGUAUGAAACUAUGUUCGAGUUGAUCACAGGUGAAACGGCGUGUUUUGUCAUGUUAGAAAAGGAAGUCCAAUAAGGGACAUAUUCUUCAUGUUCUCCCUUGCGAUUUCCUUUACAUUCUUCUCUGACGUUGUUCCCUCGAAAUCUUUUGUCCGUUCACACGAGACUCACGUCGGGUGUUGGUCGUUAAACUAUUUAUAACAACGACGAUAAUGUGUAGUUCCAUCGAUCAUUCCAGGUGAAUUCAAAUUGAAAAAGAAAAGAAGAAGAAGAAAAUAAUAUACCUUCGCCGAAAGGAAGAAAGAAAAAGAAAAGUGUGAAACAAGAAGAAAAGGAGGGAGUAAAAAUUAUGAAAAGGUUAAUAACGUCGUGUUUCGAAGAUGAGAAGGCUGCAAAAUUGGUAUUAGGGUGAAGUAUGAGACUGUGAAGGGUGAGUAGUGCGUGAAGGGAAAAGUGAAAGAGAAACAGAGAAAGAGAGAUUUCAAGCGGCAAUUACCGGGGCGUGGACUUGCCCUCCCACGAGAGAGACAGAGAGAUAGAUAGAUAGAUAGAUAAAUAGAGAGAGAGAGAGAGAGAGAGAGCAAGAAAAAAGGGACAUCCGGUCUGUUAUUCAUUCAAAUUAAACUCCUGAAUGUUUCAACGUCCAUCAAGCACAUCAUAAAAUCUGUCAUUUUAUAACUACUACAGGCAGUAUAAUAAAAUGGGUCAAUGGAUCCUGUAGCUUGUAUCAAGAUAAGUUUCGAAAUGCUCUCGUUCGCAAGCACAGUCCGCGAGAGCAACCAUCCAACCAACCAACCAACCAACCAACCAACCAGCUAGCCAGUCAGCCAACCAGCCAGCCAGUGAGAGGUUCUACUACGUCGCUUUAGUCUUCGUCCUCAUCGUUUAGUCGCGCAUGACAGUUCUCGCGCGCGCUUUACGCUUCAUUACGAGAGAUUGCGGGCUUCGUGUUUCGAGUGCAUCAUCGUUACUGGCAUUCAAAACUUCAUGGAAGAUUAGCGCGGCGUAUUCGACCACCUACCUACGUGCCAGUAUUUUCCGCGAAUUACGUCGCGUUGAAGUGUAUCCUUUUUAACUAAAUGCAUAGAUGUCCCUAUAUAAAUAUAAUCUUCGUAUGUAUGUACAUAUAUGUAUGUACAUACGUUAUACGUAUUAAUAUAACGAAAAGAUUUUUUUUCGAGGCCAUAACUUUUUUUUCUCUCUAUACUUUCCUCUCGUAAAAUUUUUCAUUUAUAUAUCACUAUUGAUAAAUAUGAAUUUAAGUUAAGUCAAAUAAUAACUAUGGAUUAUAGAUUAGAUCUCUGAUCGAAUUAUCUUCGAAUACAAGCGAUUCCAUUUGAUUAAGAAACAGAAAUAAGAUCGAAUGAUUCAGCCUACUUACGGAACAUACUUAUCUCGUCAUGCUGAACCUGGCACAAUGGGAAAGAUAUAAAUCAAGGAGACUGACUUUGCUAGUUUGACCCCCUUUUACGCCAAGGGUGUCGAUGCGCUUUGAAACAAUUCUACUCUUUUUCUCUCUCUCUCUCUCUCUCUCUUUCUCUCUCUCUCUCUCUCUCUCUCUAUCUAUCUAUCUAUCUCUUUUGUUCUUUCUCUCUCUCUUUCUCUCCCUCUCUUUCUCUCUCUCUCUCUCUCUUUUUAUUUUUGUACGUCUAUCAAUUAUUAAUACGACCUUUUCGCUAAUGAUUCUGGCUUUUAGCAGAGAAAAUAAAAUUAUCAUCGUUUUCUUGCAAGUGAUCCUUCAUAUCUUUGUUUUUUUGUAGCUUUUUAUGAAAAGACAGAAAGAAAAAGAGAGAGAGAGAGAGAGAGAGAAAACUCGAUGAUCUUUGAUCAUCGCAGAAAAAGUCAAGUUUCUUAAAUUGACGAGAGACUUUGUCGUCUCGUCGCUUCUUUUGCGAGCCAAACGUCCAAAUAUAUUCAACGAGAAAAUGUUCUUUCAACACAUCACGAUAAAGUGCGAAAAAGAUAGAAAGAGAAACUGGGAGGAUCUCUAGGCGUUGCAAUAAAACUAAACUCGAUGACAUACAUAAUAUAGUGAAAAAUAUAAAACCGGUGACAAGCCGACGGAAAAGGAAAGUAGCGGUGAAAUGAUGAAUUUUUAAAACGUCACUUGCUAGGAGUCCAACUCCGAGACCUCGUUUGACCCGUCUCCUCUUUUUUCCUCUUUUUUUUUUCUUUUUUCUUUUUUUCUCUUCUCGCGAUUCAACCUUCCAUGUUUUUUAUUUUUUUCUUUUACCCUCGUUGCGAUCAACUUGACACUUUGAAAAAUAUGAAUUUUCUUUUUUAGAUUCUUGCAUCCCUUUUCGCAGCUGAUUUUAGCGAUGUUUUU